rnacentral:lncRNA from 1 species
GAUCGCUAAGAUCCUGUGAUGCAUCUUAGAUUUUGCGAGAGACAAAAGCAGCCCCGGGAGCUGGCCUGCCACCCACAGCUAGGCCGUGGUGGUCUCCCGGUGAAUGUAAACGAUCUCACAGAACGUCACCGUCAGACAAGGCCGCUAUGUGACCGUGAUGGAUCAAGACAGAAAUAAGACCACUCCGUAGUCACGUCCGAACUCAGACAAAGAAGAAGAAUAUAGUGUCCAAACGAGAAAAAUUGACCAAACACCCCCCCCCCCCAUCCUCGAUGCUCUAAUAUGGGUAACUGCUGCUACUUUACCAGUUACAGCUUUGGCUAUGGCCCUAUUCUUCCCUCCUUCUGGAACAACAGGAGGACUGCUGCUAAGAGAGCAACUUGCUGACAGCCUCCCUCACCUGACUAAGGAUUGCACAGCGGUGUCUGGACGCCACCCUGCCACUGGCAAGCCACAUGAUGCUGACUCAAGCCACCACCUACGUUCAGCCCAUGCUGCACUCUGAUGCCUCCUACACGGGACUGGAUGGGGCCCAAACAGCCGAGGGGGCACUUGGGCAUCAAGGGACCUGAAUACUCCCCAAAUUGAUCAAAGGUGUCGCCCUGGCAAACCUAUGAUUAAGAGGGGGAAAUGACAAAAGAAAGAGAUAAGAACGAGGCCAGAGUCAACGUGACCCCCUCAAGGCUGAACUAUGGGCAGAAAUAAAAGAUUACAUUUUAACCUCCACUGUCACCAGGACGGCCGGAGAACGAUGCGGUCGUUUUUCCCUGCAGUUAGAACACUUAGAAAGCCCCGGGCACAAGACAAACUGUAGCUGGAAAGGGUGGCCGAUCAGAGCGGGACUCAGCCCUAACGUUGCAUACUCUGCACAUUUUUGCCUUUCCAACCUGGCCACCCCGAGACCGGGGGGGGUGGGAGGCGGGGGGUGCUCACCUAUCAACUUGCGAGUUGAGGCAUACUUCCCUGGUUUGCAAACGUUUAAUAAAGCUUCUCUUUUCUUUAAAACUUAUCUUUGCCUCAUCAAGCUGCUCAUUUGGGUUAACACAGCCUCUUAAAACAAAAGAAACAAAGAAGCAAAAAAACCCAGUAAGUUUCCAGACAAAUGACAAGACAAAGGGAAAGGACUUUGAGUUUCUGGGGUGGCAAACCGUGGAAAGGUAAAUAUGUGGGGAAUGAUGGAAGAUAAGGGCUAGUCACCAACGUUUGUUGUGCAGAGCCCUCUGGUGCCAGUCUCUGGGCUGAUAAGGGUCUAGAGUUGUCGGGUGAUUAACUUCUGUACAAAUUUGUGUCCUGCUUUUAGGCAAAUAGGG